GGUGGGGUGGCCGAGUGGCUAACGGCAGCAGACUGUAAUCUGCGUUGCGCUACGCGCUACGUAGGUUCGAAUCCUACCCCCCACCA
rnacentral:tRNA from 1 species